rnacentral:tRNA from 3 species
GGGGAUGUAGUUAAAAAUAACAUUUAAUUUGCAAUUAAAAAGUAUCAACUUGAUCUUCCUCA